GAUGAACGCUGGCGGCGUGCCUAAUACAUGCAAGUCGAGCGAACAGACGAGAGUGCUUGCACUCUCUGACGUUAGCGGCGGACGGGUGAGUAACACGUGGGUAACCUACCUAUAAGACUGGGAUAACUUCGGGAAACCGGAGCUAAUACCGGAUAAUAUUUAGCUUCGCAUGAAGCAAUAGUGAAAGACGGUUCUGCUGUCACUUAUAGAUGGACCCGCGGUGUAUUAGCUAGUUGGUGAGGUAACGGCUCACCAAGGCAACGAUACAUAGCCGACCUGAGAGGGUGAUCGGCCACACUGGGACUGAGACACGGCCCAGGCUCCUACGGGAGGCAGCAGUAGGGAAUCUUCCGCAAUGGACGAAAGUCUGACGGAGCAAUGCCGCGUGAGUGAAGAAGGUUUUCGGAUCGUAAAACUCUGUUGUAAGGGAAGAACAAGUACGUUAGUAACUGAACGUACCUUGACGGUACCUUACAAGAAAGCCACGGCUAACUACGUG
rnacentral:rRNA from 1 species